UAGCGCCAGCAUAGCUCGUAAAACAAACUUUUAAACUCAAUUCACGGAAUUGUGGUCGCAUCAUGUGGGUCUCGUAACCUCAUAUGGUGUACAUUUUAAUUUUACGUGUAUCUGGAUACUCAUAUCUGCCAACCAAUGUGUGAAUUACGAGCUAUGCUAGCGCUAGGGCGCUAGCGUUAGCUUGCUAGUGUUAGCUCGCUAGCGUUAGCACCCUAGCGCCAGCAUAGCUCGUAAAACAAACUUUUAAACUCAAUUCACGGACUUUCGAUCGCAUCAUAGGGGUGUUGUAACCACAUAUAGUGUAAAAUAUAUUUUUAUGUGUAGUUAAUUAUUCAUAUUUGUCUUCAAAUGUGUGAAUUAUGAGCUUCGCUUGUGCUAGGGCGCUAGUAUGCUAGCGCGAGCAGGCUAACGUCAUUAAACGGCCAGUCUCGGAGUUGCGUUAGUAGUGUAAUGUGGUUCACACGGUAAAUAAGGGAUAUUUUGUGAAGUGUUUUUGGUUUAGCUAGAUUGGGCUCAUACCCACAGGGAAAUACAAUGUUUGAAACAAAUAACUUAAGUGCACGGUACUCAUUUUAGCUUUAAACCAAGUUCAGCUUGGCUGAUUUAACAUAAACUGAAGACCCGCUGAAGCCACACAAUCCACUUAGUUUGGUUUAAUGCCCGCGUAUUCUCCAGUAAACUGGCUUUGGUAACGCAGUGUUGUGUGACUUGCACAAGCUUCCGUAGGACAAAUGCUGCGCAUGCUCAGAAGUUCAGUCCAUGAACGAGAAACGUCGGCGAGGAUCGCGAGGCAGGUGAAAAGCGGGCGAAUCUUGAUCCAUCCGAGGUGUCUCUGUCAGUAAGAACAGUCCUGCAAUUGUAGGCUGGGUGGUGUACCUUUUUUGGCUCUUGUGUACCAUGAAUGUGGAAGUGUAAAGACUGUGAUGCAGAAGAAAGUAAAAGUAGUUAAUUAUUUAUUUUUAUCCAUAUGCAAAUUUAACCCUCACGUCCUUCCCUCAACAAAGACAGAAAUAUUUGU